UUGCUAAGUAGCCAUGAUGACCCUGAUUUUCUUAUCUUUGCAUCUGCAGCCUUCCGAGCGCUGAGAUUAAAGGCAUGUACUGCUGUGCCAGAGAGCCCAGGACCUCCUGCAUGCUAGUGACCUGAACCGGCUAAGACAAACAAUACGAACCUUCUCUUCAUCCGCACCGUUUCUCAGGCAAAUGUGAGACCCUGGCUGUCAAGAAGGUGGGGUGGGCCUUGUGAAGAAAAGGAAGACAGUGAGAAACACCUCUACAUACCACAGGACAACAGUUCCUAACCACGGCUGCCUGGGGAUUACCUGCAGAGCUUUCAGAAGAGGAUACUGCCCAGAGCCUUCUGACAAAGACUUCAGUUUCAUUAGCUUGGGGCAGAAGGAAGGCUACAUUCAGGUACACUCACGGUGGCCAGAGGUGAGAACACAGGACCCAGGGGACCGCAUCUGAGCUAGUGAGAACAGCAAGAUGGGGUGAGUCACCACCUCUCACGCCACAUUCCCAUUUGUGAAGCAGGUGUGGUUCUGAGUACUGGAUUUAACAGUGACUGAAGCAGAGAAAAGUGAAGUUCAUACUGUCUGUAGGAACAGUGCAGAGUCCAGCAAAUGAAACUUGCUGUAUCCGCUUCUAUUUUCAGUUAGAUGGUACACAACAGCCCGGUAGACCUAAGUAAGCGUCUGUUCUUAUCUCAUCCAAAUGACUCACGAAAUGUCUAUCACAUGGCUUUACAUUUGUCUGUAGAGUACGGAGACCCUGAAUAACAAGGGCACCCCUAGUUCUUUUUUACGUAAAUGCAGAAGUCGCUCUGUCCCCUGAACUCUUUCCCAGCUUGCUAUCAGCACUUCAGGACUCCUGGACCGUGAAGCCCUUCCUGCCCACGCUCCUUGGAUCCUGCUCUCAGCAUUCAUAGAUCCCAGUUGAGUGAUGAGUCUCACGGCUUGGGAGGCCCACGUAUGACCUGAACCCUGAGCCUGGAAGAACUCUGUAAUGACAAGUAGCCCAUUAACACCCUCUUAUAGUCAGGCUUGGCUGGGUUCCCUGCCCAUGUCCACCCACCUGACUAUAGACCCUGCCCUAGCCCGACCUGAGUGGGCUCAAAUGCCAGCAGGAGCCGAAGCCCCACGGGUUUGCUCGCCAAGGAAGUCUCUACCAUCAGCUCCUGCCUUUCUUGUGAGGAAGUCUAUGGCCAGAUUCCAACAGCGCCGCUUCUGCCUGGUCCUCGUGCUAUAAAUGUCUGGAAAACUGCUCUUUCUUCCUUAUAGUCUUGUGGGUGGGACGGGGUUCCCAUUGCUUCUCUGGCCUUGCCCUUCCUCUCCUUCCAUCAACAACUGGUCCAGCUCUUGUGCCUCACUGCACAUGGCCCUCUCUCCUCACAGACUGAAGCUCCUCCAGGGAGAAACUGUUUCUCAUCCGCCUUUGCGUGUGCAGUGCCUAGCAGAAUCUGGCCCAUUAGAAAAUGGGAUGCCUUCUCCUGGCUUCCUAUGCUCAAACAAUGCCCAGCAUGGCACUCUGUUUCCUUCUGCUGCCUGCGGAUCAAGAUGCAGAACCCUCAGCCCCUUCUCCAGCACCAUGGCUGCCUGCACACCACCAUGUCCUGCCAUGAUGAUAAUGG